AAUGUUGUGCUAGUUUCAGGUCUGCAGCCAAGUGAUUCGGUUAGAUAUACAUUAUUGUUUAGAUUCUUUUCCAUUAUUUAUUACAAAAUAUUGAAUACGAUUCCCUGUACUAUACAGGAGGACCUUGUUGUAUAUCUAUUUUUACAUACUGCAUUUUGUAUCUGCUAAUCUCAAACUUCUAAUUUAUUCCCCUCCCUUCCUUUCCCCAUUGGUAACCAUAAGUUGUUUUCUAUGUCUGUGAGUCUAUUUUGUUUUGUAAAUAAGUUCAUUUGUACCAUGUUUUUAGAUUCCGCAUAUAAAUGAUAUCAUAUUUUUCUUUCUCUGACUUACUUCACUUAAUGUGAUAAUUUCUAGGUCCAUCUAUGAUGCUGCAAAUGGCAUUAUUUCCUUCUUUUUAGUGGCUGAGUAAUAUUCCAUUGUGUAAAUAUAGCAUAUCUUUAGCCAUACAUCUAUCAAUGGACACUUAUGUUGCAUCCAUGUCUUGGCUAUUGUAAAAAGUGCUGCUAUGAUCAUUGGGAUGCAUGUUUGUUUUUGAAUUAGAGUUUUCUCCAGAUAUAUGAUCAGGAGUAGGAUAGCUGGAUCAUAUGAUAAACUUUAUUUUUAGUUUUAAGGAAUCUUGGUGCUAUUUUCCAUAAUGGCUGCACCAAUUUACAUUCCUACUAAGAAUAUAGAAGGGUUCCCUUUUCUCCACACCCUCUCCAGCAUUUAUUUGCAGGCUUUUUGAUGAUAACUCCACCACCUGAGGCUGCUCUUACUCCCAAGUUCCCUCUCUCAGCUCUGCCUGAAAAUAGACCCAACUGAAACGCCAAAAGAUCCUACCAAGUAGUCUAAUGCUAGCAAGCCCCUGAAUCCUGCCACAUCAAGUCCACUACAAACUGCAGUCACUUGUUCUAGCCAAAUUAUUAUUUCAGAGAAAACUUCUAUUUGUUUUGAUAAUUGUUUCUGUUCUUUGGAAAAAAACAGUUCAAAAGUAGAGUCAGGUGCUACUUUAGGUACAUGAAACAAAUAUUCUAUUUAUUCUAUUUCUGUUCCAUAAUUUUAUGGGUAGAUGGUUGCUACUAUUCAUUCUGGUUGCUUUAGAUACCAUGUCUGUCUUACAUACUCUAACCAGCAUUAGUCCAUGCUCACAUGAGCAUUUAAUAAAGAAGAACCUUAUGGCUACAAGCCUCAUAGUUACCUCAAAUUAAAUACUACAGAGGAGGAAUCACUUUCUCUGAAAUGUAACCAUUAACUAAAAGAAAAAAAAGCCUGGUGUGGUGUGAGUCAUCUAUAAAGCAGGUGAUUUACAAUCCUGCAGUGUGAAGUAGGUGGCCACCUAUAAAGAAAGACUUCAGGGGUUCUCUCUCCAUCCCGAUCAAUGAAAUGUUCCUCCUAUGAGACAAAACUCAACAUUCUACAGUUAAAGUCUGAAAUGCAAAUACACCCAAGUAAGUUGUUUUAAAACUUUAGUCAUUCACAUACUCCUUUCAUGAUUCUUAUAAUAUCUGUGAACAAAUGUUCUAUCAUUAAUACAGUAUUUUCCUCUUAACACAAUUUUGCCAAGAUCAGUUAAUUUUUUGAAAGACCACUUAUAUAAUUACUUUAAAUAUACAAUACCUCUUGUAUAUAGCCAAUAUCACUUGCCAUAAAUAGAAGGAAGCCUAAAAAAAUGAAUGUGACUAACAAAAAUUAGGAGUUUCCAUUGGGCUCAGCAGGUUAAGAAAUUGACAUAGUAUCAGUGAGGAGGUGGGUUUAAGUCCUACCCUCGCUCAGUGGGUAAAGGAUUCAGCAUUGCCACCAGCUGCGGGGUAGGUACCAGAUAUGUCUCAGAUCUGGUGUUGCUGUGGCUGUGGUGUAGGCCAGCAGCUGCAGCUCCUAUUCGACCACUAGCCCAGGAACUUCCAUAUGCUUCAGAUGAGCCAUAAAAAGAAAAAAUAAAAGAGUAAAUGAGUGAUAUCAGUGCUCUCAAUACCUCUCUAUCUUAUCCCCUCAUUAAAGGAGGAGCAACCACCAAAAAGUAGGAAGGGCAGUGAGAAUCUGAAGGAUCAUGGGUGAAGGCUGGGUGUCACAAGCUAUAAGAAAUAAAGGUAUGAAUGAGCAGACUGUUGUUCUCCCCAAAAUUAUUUAUAUCUGGGGCUGUCCUUGCAUGUCUCAUAAAGGAAGUUCCCUGCACUGUUUGAUAUGAAGGUCCUUUCUCCACACCUAUGCACCAUCUCUUUUAGACAUACACAUCUGAGCUCACAAAUUACCCAUCACAAAGAAAUCACAUGCUGUUAAUAGGUCUCUUCACUGUGGCUCAAAGUACAGAAAAAAUGCCAGUCCCUGUGCUGAAACCAAAUUUCUGGAAUACUAACAGGAGGUCCCAAUAGCAGGAGACAUAUUACCUAGAGGUCACCCCAAUAACUCCUGGAGCAAGCUCCUAAAUUCUUCUGCUUAUUGCCACAUUCACAACAAAGGGUCAUGUAUUCUAGCUCUCCCUGGAUAUCCUCCUCUCCAAUCAAAUUUCCAAUAGUCUAUCAUUUUUCCAUUGUGCUUAACAUCUAGUUCUCAUCAAAACAGGUGCCUAAUUUAUAGAAAAAUGAAGGGCAUGAAUCCAAAUGAAUCAACCAUUCAUUCAAAUGAAUGAAUGUAUGACAACAGAUUAGCUUCAUAGAAAGGAACACCUGCAUGCCUAAGGCAUGUCCCCAAAUUAUCUCAACACUGUUCAAAGUCACCAAGAAACAUAGCACAAAUCCCAUCAGUGUGUCUUUUCAGAGAAAUGACAAGAUCUCCUUCCCUUGCCCUAGCUGGAUAAAGAUCUGCUACACUCUCUCUUUAAAGUGUCUCCUCUUUACAAGUUGUGCAGUCUUGGUCAAGCCACUUAACUUCUCUGAACUCCUGUUCCCUCAUCUCUUAAAUUCUGAAGAAUAAUAUCUGCCCCAUUGGGUACAGUAAAGAUUAAAUGACAGAAUUCAAGAAAAGUGACUACCACAUUACCUGAAGUAUACAAUAAGCUUAAAGAUGCUAGCUGAAUUUUCAGACCAGAUCACAAUACCAUGAUAAAUAUUAAUGGCUUAAUGGUUCCAUGUUGUUACAAGGUGACACCCACAUGCUUUCAUUCACUGUCAUAAUGUCUUCCCUGUUUGCCAGAGUUUUUAAUGUUUAUAGGAAGAACGGAGCAGGGAAGCAGGACUAUUGUCAUGAAGGGGCACAGAUUCACAUGCAAAGAGCUCAUGAAUGCAUCUCAACAAAUGUAUCCAGGGUUGAUGAUGACUACAAUUUGCUCCCAUUUUGAAGCCCCUGCAUUUUUCAUCUCUUUCUUGCCAUGAAUCUCCUAUACUUCUAAUACCACGUUUCAAAUCAGAGGGACAAGCACCUGCAGCCACAGGACGGGAUGUUUAGGAUCUAAUGCCUGAAAUAUUUUUCAGACAGAAAACACUCUCCCAGUGCCCCUACCCUGGAGAUGGUAAACUACUCUGACAUCUCAGCUGUUGCCCCUCCAAGCAGAUUCACACACCUCUCGGCUAACACACCCUUUGGGUAGGCAUCUAAUCGUGUUUACAGUUAUUCAUUAUGACUAGCUAUACACAGAUAAUGCCUUUGGUGUCAAACAGAAUGGCCCCGUAGACCCCUAGUCCAAGACAGCUGGAAGAUACAGACGCACAUUAAAUAAGACACAGGCAGUAGAAUCACAUUCAUUUCCUGGAGAUGCAGAGAGACUGAAGCUGACCUGCUAGAGCCCUCCAGAGCUCCAGGGUGGGGAGGCACACAGCAAGCAGAGUGGAAUCAAAAAAUCUGAGGUACUUCAGGGUUAGAAAGCUUGCAGAGCAGCUUCUGUGGGUGUCCGCAAGUAAGUAUGCCAGCAAGGAAAAACAUGAACUGUUUUUCAGGGGAUCACCUCGAACCAGAAGGACCAGUAGUCAUUCUAAGUACCAGGGUAUGCUACUGAACUUCUGAGUUAGUGUACAUCUAUUGCGAUUUCAUGUACCUCUCUGUGGAAGAAUCACUCCAGGAACAUAAGGGAGGGACAUGCCUUUCAGCAUCUGCGAUCAUCUAAAUGGAAAGCCAUGGAGGGGUAUAUUGGGCCAGGGGUGGGAUGCAAAUAAUGACCUCCAAUCCUCAGCAUCCAUUAAGACGAACACUCUGUGUUGAAACAAGAGGAACUUGCAUUUCCUCAAAAGGCAUUUAGACACAGUAGCAUAAUUGGGAGUGAAUAGAAAGAGCAGCACAUUUCCCCAUUGACACAGCUGUAUUGAAAAAUCAACCCGUGGCUCUAAAGGAAAUGAGAAAACACAACUGGUGAUUUCUAGCAUGGCAUUCAUUUUUGUGAUCCCUCAAUUCUCAGUUCAAGUAUAAACAGACUAUCUCCCCCCUCUGAAGUAAGAAGGGGAUUAAGUAGGCAGGAUGCUCUCUGAGUUCUGUGUAGCAUAUGUUCAUAAGCUAUCCUUUUGUAGCAUUUAUGGAUUCAUUCUGGAGUAGGGUUAAGCCGGAGCAAAGUAAUUUGGCAAGCUUGCAUUUGCUUUAUCAGGAGAAGCAAAUGCAGUCUAUAGGGGCCACCCUGACCUGAGUGGCAAAAAAGCUCCCUGGAGUCCUGAGGGGGAUACUGAUUAUUUUCCUUACAGGGAUGCUCGAGCUGAGCCAUCGUCCCUACAAAACAGUAAAUGAGCUUCAUGCAAAUUAUCCUCAGGAAAGUGGUGGCCCAGGGGACAAGAGUGAUCAUUAUCACACAAACUUAAUUUCUGACCAACUUCAACAAACACCCUAUGGUAUCUUCCCUACCACACAACCUCAGGGUCAGCAUUCGAACCAUCGCAGCCUAAGGACCUGUGCUCUCCAAAUCUGUACUUCCACUUCUUUAUGCUACAUGCACUCGAUGGAGUACAGUGUAGCCCUUAAUGAUGAUGUGGUAGAAGAAUUUUUAACAUUCACAAUACAACAUUAAGUGGCAAAAGCAAUAUGGACAAUUUUUCUAAAGAUACAUCUAUAUAGAGAACUGACUAGAAAGAAAUACCCCAAAUGUCUGGGCAUCUCUGAGCAGUAGGGUUAUCAGCAAUCUCUAUUAUCUUUUCUUUUGCUGAUCCCUUUUCCAAAUAUUCUAAAAUGUAAAUGUAUUAUCUUUGCAAUAGGAAUAAAGUAAUUAUAACGUGAUUUAAAGAUACAGAUUGGUGGGAAUAACAUCACCAAGAUGGCAACAUAGGUGUCCUAAUGUUCUACUCUUUACAAGAACAACAACAACUAUUCAAGAAUAAGACACCACUGAGAGAAUCCUAGAGCAGAGACAUGAGGCUGAAGCACCCCCCUCCCCAAUACCACAGAGACCAAGAGAAACUGCAUCAGAAGUUAAGAGAAGUGGUUAUAUAUUGACCAUAUUCCCGCAUCUCCAGGCAAGCAUAGUACCACGUGGAGAGGUUUUUCCUGAGUCUCCAGCUCCUUCAGUGGGAAGGAGAACACAGUGGGUACAACCAGCACCCCCUAGAAUUGUGAGUCUCAUUAUAAGAGCCCCUGCUGUAAUUUCACAUCAUGGAGAUUGCAGUGGGAUCUUUGGGUGUCAACCACUAGGAAUCUGACUGUGAAGGAGAUGUGGGCAAGGCUUGCAACAACCAGGACAGGGAUCUUGGCAGACCAAGUUCAUACCUGCAGUGCCCAAGUAGUAAUCGUAGAGGGUCUGCCCCUGUGCAAAACCAAGUAGAGGGCAAUUCUGACCAAGUAACCCAAAAGAGUACAGAUCUACCUGAUCCUCAAAAGAGGAAUCUUUCAACCCUGAAACCCAGUUUGGCCACACCCAGACCAGGAACUGAAUCAGUACCCCACACACUGCUGAGAGUAUAUUCCAGUCCUCUCUAACCAGAAGGGCUGGAGAAAACUCCUGGAAACUGAGCAGCCCAGCUAUGCUCAACCCAAACCCAAGAGGCAGGCAAGCAGACCUGGUUGCCCCAGAGCAAAGCUAGUACCAGGGUUGGAGCAUUUUCAUGCUCAAGCAGGAAGACUAAUUUAUAGCCAAGGCUGAGGGGAGCACACUGCCCCUCCUGACCAAAGAGCUGGUUUGAGAAACUGAGAGAAGCCUGGAGUGACCCCCUCCCCCUUCAAAUCAGGCAAGGGAGAAGUGACAUAACCCCAAACUAUUAUGAAAUGCUUUAUUCUGCUAAUCUGACCAGAGGGCUGGAGAUAACUUCUGGAAGCUAUGUGGCCUAGUGACACUUAGACCAAGAGGUAGACAGAGCCAACAGUUUACAGAGCAAAGCCACUGGCCUUGUUCAGUCAGGGAACCUGGGGCAUAGGUCAGCUUGAGUUAAGAUAACAAUCAAGAGCUCCAACAGCUUUAGAGCUGCUUCUCCCAUUGCAUCCAGGUAGGAAAUGUAAUUCAAAACUCCACACUUUGCUGAAUACAGCCAUCGUCUGUCUAACUAGGGAAUCUAACCAGAGCACACAGGAUGAUUCGUAGCCCAUUCAAUAGUCCUAUGCAUACUGGCACUUAAACACAGAGAGCGCAGCCCAUGGCAGCCCUAAUCUGUAGGGCAAAACCAGUGGCCUCACCUGACCAGAGAUGCAUUUCAUACUCUGGACUGAUUCAGGACCCCAAACAAUGAGCUGCACAGGCCCUGGGUCCUGUCCUGCUACUCUGCUGGGGCAAGGAGUCUAAUUCACAACCCCAUCUACUUCUGAAUAUCAGUCCUAACCAUCUAGUAAGAUUGACCAUUGAAUCCAGGUAACCAUGGAGACAAUCCCAUAGCCUCCUCUAAGUAAGGAACCAAGCAAGGAGUCUUAUCCAACUGUUCUCACCCAGUGGUAUGACCUUCAU
rnacentral:lncRNA from 1 species